rnacentral:lncRNA from 1 species
UUUUAAACACUUUUCUCUCUUUUUCAGGCAUCUACAUGGAAGCAUUCUGGAUUUCAUUGGGCACGGUGCCUGUGACUGAUUACAAAAUCUGCUGCUGAAGCAACUUCUAGAGGUGGUGGAAGACCUAUGGUUGUGGAUCCUUUGCACAUAUAAGUGUUAUUGUGUGUGUCUGUUUGACCAUGAGACCUACAGCCAACAAGACUUCUGGUGCUCCUUCCUACAGCAGAUGGUCCAGUUCACAGCCCCAUCAGUCCAGCUCCACAGUGAGAACGUACCAAA